GCUUAACCCACUUCGACUCCCUACGACUCUCACUCUUUGUGAUCUACUCCUGCUUCUCUCCCACUUUCUCUGUGACUGCCACCCGUCUCUGAACCAUUCUUCCCUUCGCCGGAACCAACUCCAAUCUCUUUUCUUUUUCCGGCGACCUUUCUCUUUACGGAGCCAGAAUCUAGGAAGAAUGAAAAUAGCUGAAAAUAGAGAUAUUUGAAUGGAUUAAAUUUGCGAUUGCUAUUGCUUUUCAAUAUCAGUUGAGUCCUCUUCUUUUUAGCUUUGGUGUGGUGUUUUUGCUUGUUUUCCCUUCUGUUUAUAUCUUAGAAACGAAUUGCGGUGGUAUCUGAUGUGUUUUUUCAUUGAUAUAUUUGCAUUUGCUUUUCAAAGAAUUGCUUAUUAAAGAUUUUUUUUUUUUGAGGGAUAGAGACGAAUUACUUAUUAUAAUACUUUUGCCAUGGAUUAUGUACACAUGUCAAUGAAUUUUGCUUAGUAUGGUAAUUAUUUUAUAUUUUGCCAUAAACAAUUAAUAAUGUAACAUUUUUAAAUUUCCCGUAAAAAAAUUUAAUAAUGUAACUUUUUUUAAAAAAAUGAAUUUGUUUUACAAGGAAAAUUUUGUCAUUAGAUGUAUAUUUUAUCAUGUCAAUAUUAAUAUGAAGUGUGUAUCUAAACAUGAAAGGAUAAAAUAA
rnacentral:lncRNA from 1 species